AACGAACGCUGGCGGCAGGCUUAACACAUGCAAGUCGAGCGCCCCGCAAGGGGAGCGGCAGACGGGUGAGUAACGCGUGGGAACGUGCCCUUUGCUACGGAAUAGCCCCGGGAAACUGGGAGUAAUACCGUAUGUGCCCGAGAGGGGAAAGAUUUAUCGGCAAAGGAUCGGCCCGCGUUGGAUUAGGUAGUUGGUGGGGUAAUGGCCUACCAAGCCGACGAUCCAUAGCUGGUUUGAGAGGAUGAUCAGCCACACUGGGACUGAGACACGGCCCAGACUCCUACGGGAGGCAGCAGUGGGGAAUCUUAGACAAUGGGGGAAACCCUGAUCUAGCCAUGCCGCGUGAGCGAUGAAGGCCUUAGGGUUGUAAAGCUCUUUCAGUGGGGAAGAUAAUGACGGUACCCACAGAAGAAGCCCCGGCUAACUCCGUGCCAGCAGCCGCAGUAACAC
rnacentral:rRNA from 1 species